rnacentral:rRNA from 1 species
AACGAACGCUGGCGGCAGGCUUAACACAUGCAAGUCGAACGCGCCCUUCGGGGCGAGUGGCAGACGGGUGAGUAACGCGUGGGAACCUACCUUUUGGUACGGAAUAACUCAGGGAAACUUGAGCUAAUACCGUAUAAGCCCCGACUUUUAAUCGGGUCUGGGGAAAGAUUCAUCGGCAAAGGAUGGGCCCGCGUCGGAUUAGCUAGUUGGUGGGGUAAUGGCCUACCAAGGCGACGAUCCGUAGCUGGUCUGGGAGGAUGAUCAGCUCACACUGGGACUGAGACACGGCCCAGACUCGUACGGGAGGCAGCAGUGGGGAAUAUUGGACAAUGGGGGCAACCCUGAUCCAGCCAUGCCGCGUGAGUGAUGAAGGCCUUAGGGUUGUAAAGCUCUUUCGCCGGUGAAGAUAAUGACGGUAACCGGAGAAGAAGCCCCGGCUAACUUCGUGCCAGCCGCCGCUGUAAUAC